UACAGAGGUGGCAAGCGUUGUUCGGAAUUACUGGGCGUAAAGGGCGCGUAGGCGGUUCGUUAAGUCCUGUGUGAAAUCCCCCGGCUCAACUGGGGAACUGCACAGGAAACUAGCGGGCUUGAGUUCGGGAGAGGGAAGCGGAAUUCCGGGUGUAGCGGUGAAAUGCGCAGAUAUCGGGAGGAACACCCGUAGCGAAGGCGGCACUCUGGGCCGUGACGUGACGCUGAGGAGCGAA
rnacentral:rRNA from 1 species